ACAAUAAUAAUACUUGAAUGAAUCAUUGGACAUGUAAAAUUUUAAAUUUUACAUGUCCAAUGAUUCUUCAAGUAUUAUUA